rnacentral:miRNA from 1 species
GACCCUCCCUCCCAGACCCUCCCACCUCCUGGACAGCUCACUAAGAAUGCAGCUUCAAAAUAGAUGCUGUCCAGGAGGUGGGAGGGUCUGGGAGGGAGGGUC